rnacentral:rRNA from 1 species
UCAGGAUGAACGCUAGCUACAGGCUUAACACAUGCAAGUCGAGGGGCAUCAGGAAGAAAGCUUGCUUUCUUUGCCGGCGACCGGCGCACGGGUGAGUAACACGUAUCCAACCUGCCCUUUACUCGGGGAUAGCCUUUCGAAAGAAAGAUUAAUACCCGAUAGCAUAAUGAUUCCGCAUGGUUUCAUUAUUAAAGGAUUCCGGUAAAGGAUGGGGAUGCGUUCCAUUAGGUUGUUGGUGAGGUAACGGCCCACCAAGCCUUCGAUGGAUAGGGGUUCUGAGAGGAAGGUCCCCCACAUUGGAACUGAGACACGGUCCAAACUCCUACGGGAGGCAGCAGUGAGGAAUAUUGGUCAAUGGGCGCUAGCCUGAACCAGCCAAGUAGCGUGAAGGAUGAAGGCUCUAUGGGUCGUAAACUUCUUUUAUAUAAGAAUAAAGUGCAGUAUGUAUACUGUUUUGUAUGUAUUAUAUGAAUAAGGAUCGGCUAACUCCGUGCCAGCAGCCGCGGUAAUACGGAGGAUCCGAGCGUUAUCCGGAUUUAUUGGGUUUAAAGGGAGCGUAGGUGGACUGGUAAGUCAGUUGUGAAAGUUUGCGGCUCAACCGUAAAAUUGCAGUUGAUACUGUCAGUCUUGAGUACAGUAGAGGUGGGCGGAAUUCGUGGUGUAGCGGUGAAAUGCUUAGAUAUCACGAAGAACUCCGAUUGCGAAGGCAGCUCACUGGACUGCAACUGACACUGAUGCUCGAAAGUGUGGGUAUCAAACAGGAUUAGAUACCCUGGUAGUCCACACAGUAAACGAUGAAUACUCGCUGUUUGCGAUAUACAGUAAGCGGCCAAGCGAAAGCAUUAAGUAUUCCACCUGGGGAGUACGCCGGCAACGGUGCAACUCAAAUGAAUUGACGG